rnacentral:rRNA from 1 species
CCCUUAGAUGUUCUGGGCCGCACGCGUGCUACACUGAGUGGAUCAGCGGGUCAGGUUGCGCGAAAGUGUUUCCUAAUCUUGAAAUCCGCUCGUGAUGGGGAUUGACGGUUGCAAUUUUCCGUCAUGAACGAGGAAUACCUUGUAAGCGCGGGUCAUCAUCCCGCGCUGAAUACGUCCCUGCCCUUGUACACACCGCCCGUCGCUCCUACCGAUUGAGUGGUCCGGUGAGGCUUUGGGAUCUGAGCAAAAAGAGCGUUUCGCUCGUUUGGCUCGGAAAACUCAGUCGAACCUUAUCAUUUAGAGGAAGGAGAAGUCGUAACA